rnacentral:rRNA from 1 species
AUUGAACGCUGGCGGCAUGCCUUACACAUGCAAGUCGAACGGCAGCACGGGUGCUUGCACCUGGUGGCGAGUGGCGAACGGGUGAGUAAUACAUCGGAACAUGUCCUGUAGUGGGGGAUAGCCCGGCGAAAGCCGGAUUAAUACCGCAUACGAUCUACGGCUGAAAGCGGGGGACCUUCGGGCCUCGCGCUAUAGGGUUGGCCGAUGGCUGAUUAGCUAGUUGGUGGGGUAAAGGCCUACCAAGGCGACGAUCAGUAGCUGGUCUGAGAGGACGACCAGCCACACUGGGACUGAGACACGGCCCAGACUCCUACGGGAGGCAGCAGUGGGGAAUUUUGGACAAUGGGCGAAAGCCUGAUCCAGCAAUGCCGCGUGUGUGAAGAAGGCCUUCGGGUUGUAAAGCACUUUUGUCCGGAAAGAAAUCCUUGGCUCUAAUACAGUCGGGGGAUGACGGUACCGGAAGAAUAAGCACCGGCUAACUACGUG